GACGUAGGGCGCAAGCGUUGUCCGGAUUUAUUGGGCGUAAAGAGCUCGUAGGCGGCCUGUCGCGUCGACCGUGAAAACCCGCAGCUCAACUGCGGGCUUGCGGUCGAUACGGGCAGGCUGGAGUUCGGUAGGGGAGACUGGAAUUCCUGGUGUAGCGGUGAAAUGCGUAGAUAUCGGGAGGAACACCAGUGGCGAAGGCGACUUCCUGGCCUGUUCUUGACGCUGAGGCGCGAAAGCUAGGGGAGCAAACGGG
rnacentral:rRNA from 1 species